rnacentral:tRNA from 1 species
GCCGCUAUAGCUCAGUCGGUUAGAGCGUGUGUCUAAUAAGCCGAAGGUCGUAGGUUCGACCCUUGCCAGCGGCA